UACGUAGGGCGCAAGCGUUGUCCGGAAUUAUUGGGCGUAAAGAGCUCGUAGGCGGUUUGUCGCGUCUGCUGUGAAAACCUAAGGCUCAACCUUGGGCUUGCAGUGGGUACGGGCAGACUAGAGUGCGGUAGGGGUGACUGGAAUUCCUGGUGUAGCGGUGGAAUGCGCAGAUAUCAGGAGGAACACCGAGUGGCGAAGGCAGGUCACUGGGCCGCAACUGACG
rnacentral:rRNA from 1 species